CAGGUCGUAAACUCGAUCUAAGGCUAAAUAUCUCCACAGAACCGAUAGCGAACAAGUACCGUGAGGGAAAGUUGAAAAGCACUCUGGAGAGAGAGUCAAAAGACCGUGAAACCGCUCAGAGUAUAAGCCCAUGGCAGCUUGGAAGGCAUAUCGCUAGCGGGGCAUCGGUCUCCCUUCACGGGGAGCUGGUGUUACCUUGCUUCUGUUGUGGCUCGUUAUGGUAGGGGGGUCAAGUCCACAUCCCGCCGUCGUGUGGGGAGUUCUCGGGCGUGUCGUUGCUUUGCGGUUGACUUCGGUUGGCCGUAGGGCUCUUCGCGCUUGGUUCUCCUUUGGACACGGACGUUCAGACUCAGUUGCAAGACGCGAUAACCAGCCCACCACGGCACGUUGUGAGGUCACCCACAGGCUUGGCUUUCGAUUGUGGUCCUUGACGCCGAGCAAGCACAAUGCGUGUCGCAGAUGUUCCUAACCGGGCAAUGGGCCAGGAUCGUGGAACGACACGCGCUCAAAAGUCAGGACCGGGCGAUGACAAAGUUCUGGUAUGAUCCUCAUGCGACGAGCCGGCUUCUGGCCGAUUCCGAUGCUCAGGUCUCCCGCAUGUGCCGCGGGAGAUCGCUUUGGCGGUCUGGAUCUCAAAGAGUCCUCUCAGCCGGGCAACGGAAAGAGUGGUGUAAAGUCCAAGCCCAUCGGUCACGUCUCGAAACACGGGCCAAGGAGUAUAGCAUGUGUGCAAGUCUAAGAGUCUCACAAAACUCGAAGGCGAAGUGAAAGCAAGUAAGCGGCGGGUGAUCUACGGAGAGAUCCCGUCAGCU
rnacentral:rRNA from 1 species